UUAAAAAAUUUAAAAGGUGAUAAAAAAUGUAAAUUACGUUUAAGUCCUAUCAGAACUCAUUCAUAUUCUACCUUCUUCAAAGUGUCAUCAUAUCUUCACUAUCUCUAAUAUUUUAUUCACAUGUGUUUGUCUGUAUUAUUGUUUGUAAGAAGCAAUGUGUUAGAAUUUAAGAAACAUGUCACACUAUAUUGCUAACUAUACCCGAUGCAGAAUAGAAUAGAAUGUUCAUUUCAUAACAUGUUUAAAUCGUGGCCUAUUUAUAUUCAAAUAUGUUAUGUCUGAUGGAGUAGGUGCUUUGAUGAAGUUUAUUAAUACGGUGCUGAAAUGGCAUUCUAAUGGCUUUCUAUGGUACAUUCAUUUCAAUCAUAGUUAACACAUUUGUGGCGUGUAUAUGUAGAACGUUCUGUAACUGCUUCGAAUAUUGAAAACAAUUGAUAUUUCUAGGCGAGUUUGUAUUCAGUAAUUAUACUAAAUUUAACUAGGCUAUAUGUGCUAUUUUGCAAAAGGUUUGAUCAGUUCAUUUUAAUGUAUAUAUUGAAUGGCAUAUCAUGUAG